rnacentral:lncRNA from 1 species
GUGCAACACCGGAAACUCCAUCGAUGACCAGCGAUGUCGACGGCAACAACUUCUUUCGAGUUUUUUCCGUCUGGGAUUUGGAAAGCGGAGAGGCUAUCCAUUGGAAUUGUCAUUCUAUAAACAACGUCAGUCUUUGAUAGUGUCUUUUUGAAUAGCUUUUUUUGCAUUUUGAUAGGUAUGGGAGAUCCUGGCAUUUUCUAAGAUAGAUUCUCACAACUUGAGAGCUGCUGUUGCAAGUGCAGCACUCCCUCUAUUUAUAGAUAAUAAAAAGGGGUUAACUUCAUAAUAGUCCCCAAUCUUUAGGGACAAUUCAAUUAGAUCUCCAUAGUGUCAAUAAAUUCUCAAUCAGAUUUUUCUUCUAUAUAUUUCAAUUAACAAAACUAUUAAUUAUUUAAUUUCUUUAUAUAAUGCCCCUUUGGUAAAGUGAUACAUAGUAUUUUUUAAAAACAUGUUUUUUAAUAAAAAAAAAUAUAUUAAAAUGAUUUUUUUAUUGAAAAACCAAUUUAAAAAGCAGAAACUACCAUAGCAUGAAAGGGAUACAUAAUUUAUUCCAUUACAUGAUUAGAGAAAGUUUAGUAAUUUUAUAAGUUUUUAAUAAAAUAUCAAAAAAGAAGUGCAUGUAAUGUGAUAUUUAAUUUAAACUAAUCUAUUAUUAUUAGAUGUAAUCUCAAUUAUUUUUAUAGAUUGAAUACUUUUUAAGAUUUGUUUGUUUUUUUAAAUAUUUUUUAUAAAAAUAAAUUAAAAAAAAAUAUAUAUUUUUUAAAAAAUUAUUUUUAAAAUCAUUAAUCAAAAUAAUCUAAACAAAUCUAUUUUUACGUGAUGAUAGCAGAAUUAUAUCUGGAUCAGACAACCUAAGUACUAAAAAACAGAAGCGACAGAUUCCACAAGUAAGAAAGCAUUUGAUCGGUCGGUUGUGUGCAGCAAGACAGGACUCGCGCAAUAACGAAUGCCAGGCCGCCUAUCUGACGUGUUAAUAGGCUUGCACGUGCCCAUCUUGUAUUUUGUUUGCAUGUACCCCACCAUCUGGACCCACAAGGGUUCGUGGGCAACGACUUUAACUAUCAAUUCGUGAUCAAUCCUUAAGAAUUAUUAGUUGGAUGAUGAAAAAUACUUGUUUUAUUGAGAUUUAAAUAUUAUUAUUAUUAUUAUUAUUAAAAUUAUUAAUAAUAAUUAACCAACUAGUAAAUCUAUUAACAUUUAGAUUUAUUUAGAAAAUGUUAUAUAUUAAUUGUCAAAUAAAAAAAGUUAUAUGUUUAUUUAAUCGUAUCAUUAUAUAUUAUAUAUAUAGAAUGAAAAAAAUUAUUACAAUAAUAAAAGACUUAAUUGUAAUAAAACGGUAAGUGAACAUUUUUAUUAAUAAUAAUUAUCAAAGAUUGCGGUAAUUCUUAUUCAUAGGAUCGGCCAAGAUUCUAUAUCAUAGUCAAACCAAAAGUAAUAUCAACUACUCGGUAUAUAAACAUUCUUAAAGUGCUGCUUAAAUAAAUCUUCUAUUGCUUAAAAGAAUUCAUGGACGUGCCAUCUCACUUUUUUAUUUUAACUAAAGUUUGAUUCAUUUAAAACUUUAGAUUUUUUUUUAAUAUCUUAAUCAUCUAAAUUAAAAUUUAAACAAUGCUAACUUUGUAAAUUGAGUAGUUGUAAAGAGUUGGAUUCUUCAUCGUAUAAGUUGAACUAAUUGAAUUAUGCUUGAUGUUUUAAAUAAAAAAAAUAUUUUAAUUAAAAAAAUUAUUAUUUUAAAAUAUAUGGUCUAUCUUGAAUUAAUGAAUAGUCAAGUGGCUCGAUUUGAUUAGGCCAAGCCAGGUCAUAUAACAAGUUUAGUAAAGCACAAGCGAUUUUAUUUUUGUGUAAAUUGCUAGAAUAUUAGAAUUUUUUUUUAAUAAAAAUAUUAAUAUCAAAAAUCAUUUCAGAUGAUAUUUCUGACUAAGCCAUGCUAAUCAUAAAUAAUUAAUCCGACUAAGGCUAAGCUAACAGCAGAAGCUAGUCCAAUUCAUGCGGUUUCGCAUGGAUUGAAUCCCAUAUCGCAAGAGCUGCACGAAUGGGACCCCCCAUGUCUAGAAUCUUAGACUCUUGGGAAACAUAUGCUCUCAAAUAUAUCCACGACAAAAUCAAAAGAGACAAACCAUAUAAAUAAAAAGAAAAGAAAAGAAAAGAAUCGAUCGAGCGAAAAGUUGAAAUGAUCGAAAGAUUGAUGAAGAUGAGACCAUGUGUAAUACAAGAAAGUUUUACUGUUUUUUUGAUGCGAUUGGAGAUCAUGCUCGUCUUUUGAGUUCAUCGAAAGAAAAGAAGAAAGAGCUCGACCAAACCGAACGAAGAAAAAGAAGAAAGCUACCGAGGACAAGAACGUAUGCAGUGACCAAACCGAAAAAGCUUCAUCCAAUAAAAAAAUUCGAUGUGAUGGGUUGGUGCUCUCUAAUUGAUCACUUCACAGAUUUGUCGAAUAUCGCUUUCUGCCUAGCACGAGACCGUGAGACUAAAGCCGGUUCAUGGCUAUAAACCUGUUGAAAUCGCACGAUGAUCCAGCCGACAGCUCCGAAUGCACUAAAAUAAUUAGUGGGGUCGGAUCGAGACUGACAACAAGUCAUCCUAAAAAGUUAUUGAAAUCUAAGCUCGCAGUCCAUCAAUAUCAUAAUUAAUCAUCCCAAGCCUCACCACACACUCUUUGUUGUCCCAUACCGUUUCAAUAUCCAAACCAUAAUUAUUAAAACCUAUAUGAUUCAUCGAUGGAUGAAAUAACCAUUGAACUAAAUAUCUAACUCAAACUAAAUUUUAAAUUAAAUUAAAUUAAAUUAAAUGGGUGCGGAUUUGAUCAAAACUGAUUAACUUUGUUAAGCUGAUGAAGAUCUGGUUUGAUUUUUAUAUAUAAAAAAAGAAUUUUGUUUUAAUGUUUUGUAAAAUAUAAUAUUGAAAACAUCUUUUGAUAAAUUCAAAUUAAACUGUACAAUCCAAGACCCGUUCUUUAUACCAGGUUAUAUAUAGUUUAAUAACUUUCAUUCCAAAGAUAAGGAUAUGAUCACUCCGCAGAAUUGUGAAAUAUCGCUUUCUGCCUAAAUCAAUGCUCUUCCGCGAGACAUAAAGCGGGUCAUGGCGAUGAACUAUUAAAUCGCACGAUGAUCUAGCCACCGACUUCUAAAAUUCACUAAAAUAACUAGUGGGGUCAGAGAAAGAAUCGAGAAAUAGAAGACAACAACCCAUCACACUCAGCUUCCAAUCAGCCUUUGUUGAAUCACCUACAAAGUUAUUGGAAUCUAAGCUUAUACAGUUCGUCAAUAAUCACCAAAUAAUCCAUUCAGCCAUCCCAAGUUCGAGCCACACUACCAUGUUGUCUGCAUUUACAGUAAUCUCAUCAUCCAAACUGUGCUAAUGAACUGUAACAAAACUAAUUUUAAUAUCAAUGAUCUUCUUCUUGGAAAGAAGAGGUCUUGAGUCCCGACUCACUUUUUAUGCAUGUAAGAUCCAAAUUGUGAAUAUCCUUAAUUAUGUUUAUCGAAGCAUUAUCUGGAAACGAAGAUAUGAACUAAGAAUUCUCUAGUUAUAUUGAAAGGGAAAAUUGUAUUGCCAAACAGCCAAUGUACAGCAAAAGCUCACUCCCGAGAUAAGGGAUUGAUAUAUCAUCCCAACCCUUACAGUGAAUUACAAAGUCGAAGCCCUAUAUACAGUAGCUACUCAGUCUGAUCAUAUAGCACCUGAUCACUAGUUUGGAUGAUGUGUUGAAGCUGAUUUCUUAAUCUUGAUUUUGAAAUAUUCUCCUGCCUCUACAUCCUUCUCUUUAUCAGAGCUGAUUACUAUAACGUCGCCGGUCCUGAGAUCCUUUUUACGAACAAAUGAAAACCAGUCCCCAGAAAGGGCUGGUUUUGAACUCCUUCCUGGUGACACUCUACAACGGAAGCUCCACUCUUGCCCCUCCUCGUCUUUGAACUUCAAAUUUGCUUCAUGGUCUCGUGGGAAAUCUUUUAGACAAUUUGCUGGAAGCGUUAGUCUUCUCUGAACAUCGGUGCUGUCGAGUUUUUUUGUGAAGUUUUCCAUUGCUAGCUUGUUUUAUUUUGUUUUUUUUCUGGAGAAGUUGAUGUGCAAUGGUUGAGAAGUUUCCCGUUCGCCGUGGCUCUUAUAAUUCGUCCAGUGGGGCCUACAAAACUGUGAUACAUUCUUUUCUAAUUGGUGGGUCCACACUUAAUUCCAAAAUCAUGACGGGAAAACAUUUGCUGCACAUGACGUGCGACGCUUUUAAAAUCAUACUCGAGAUAUUGAAUCGAUCCACGAGCUGUCAGUUUUAUUAAAGUAGUAUCGUUUUGUUUCUUUCAUUUUUUUUUAUUCAGCUAAUUUAGGUUUGUGCAAGACUUUUGGAUUAAUCGUGUUAUUAAAAAUCUAAUUAGACUAAUUAAAUUAACUGAGAUUCAUCUAAUCAAUUGCUCUUUAAUUUAAUUUAAAUUCUAACUUAAAUGAAGUAUAAGUUGGGAUAUAUAUAUAUAUAUAUAUAUAUAUAAACUACAAAUAAAACUCUUAUUUAUGCAAUGAAUCACGAAUCAGUCCUCUUUUUUUAAAAAAUCUCAAUGCUAUCUAUGAAUCACUUAAGUGAAAGUUGUCUUGUUAAUUAGUCUAAAAGGUGUUUUUAUUGCAUAAACAUGGAAGAUUUAGCGUCUUACAUACUUAAGAUGUUUGGUCAAAUUCAGUGUUUGCUAGCAAAUACACAAAGCACGCACGCACUCUUUUAGAUAUUGGAUGUGACUGCAACUGUUGUCAAUACUGUUUAUUGACAGCAUGUUGUCAGCCUAUCACCAGCACUGAGUCCAAUGUUUAUGCAAGCACGCACUCUCUCUCUCUCUCACUGACAUUAUUGUCAUAUCGCGCGAUCAUUUAAAAAGUUCUCGAGAUGAUGACGAUGAUACGUGUGAUUCUUCUACAAAAAAAGAUGUCAGGGUGGUUAAACUUUAUUCCAAAUUUAAUUUGAUUACAAAAAAAUAUUGGGUUAGGUUUUUAAAUAUCGGUUGACUAAACUAAACCCUAUUAAAACUUGAAGAUGAACUUUAAUAACUAUUUGAAAAAAAAAAUUAAAACAAUAUUAUUUUAAUAAAAAAAUAACAUGAAAAAAUCUAGAAUCAAUAAUUAACCCAAUAACAUUCUAGGUUUUUUUUUUUAAUCAUAAAUGUCUAAGUUAAUUUACAUGUACAUCAAUUAAUUUUAUUAGGCAUGAAGACUACUAGUUUAUGUUUUAUAAACCAAGUUUGACAAAUAUACUUAUUGCUGGUAGUAGAUGGAUGAUUGAAUUAAAUCUAUUAAAUUAAAAAAAAAAGCAUUUUUAAUAAAAUCAAAACUGACAUAAAUGAAUCAAAUCUUCUAUAAUUAACUCAAUAACCUACCAACUCACACUUUUUUAUAAAUCAAGUCCGACAAGCAUGCUAUGCUUUCUACUAGUAGUGGCUAGCUAGGAUGGUGCGCCACUGACACAUAACUUUUUUUUGUUUUCAAAGCUGAACAUUGGACUAAAUAGAUAAAUCUUGACAUUAUAUGUAUGUCUUGGCUUGUUCUAAAAGAAGAUAAAAUGUUGGUGGAUAAGACAAUCAUAGCUCGGACAACAACUGUUGUUACACGUGGGGCAAGCUUGUAUAGUGUACAAAUGCAGACCGAGAGUUAGCUAAUAUUCUCAACUCAAAUCCAACACUAUUUGGAUAACCAAUAAUAUUUGUUUUUUGACCCAUCAACGACGAAUCUUGUCUUUGAAAUUGACAAGAAAAGAUAACGCUCCUUUUAUUUCAAAAAGAUUAUCAUGUUUGAUUACUAAAAUUAUUAGUUCAAUAUCGCCUUUCCUUGUUCACACCUUCUCUUUGUGGGCGAAAAUCACCCCGCAAACAAUUGAAGCUAGAGGUCCUCCGUAAACUUGGUUGUCGGGUAUAGUACUAGAUGCUUUUUAAAAUAUAUAUAUAUAUUAAAAUAAUAUAGUGCUAAAGUGUCAAUCAUUCACUUAAUCUUUUAAACCACUAUUUUAAUAAUAAUUAUUCAACUUUACGCAAGACAUUUAAGGCAAUCUCAAUGAUUUUCCAAUUGUUAAAUUCCAUUAAUAUACCCAGAUCAUUUUUUUUAAUUAUAAAAGAAAUAAAACAUUAAUAUCAAUUAAACUAUAAUUUAAUAUCAAUUUUAAAAAAAAAAAAAAACCCAUCAACUCAGUUAGUUAUAUCCAGCUAACUGACAGAGGUGGGGUCACGUCCUGUGGGCCCAGCACAAGAAAAAAAUAAAAAUAAAAAGACAGAAUAAAAAGUUCGUUUCAAUGUAUAACUUUAAUAAAUUAGCUUUAGACGAUGUUGACCGCCGGCCCCAGGCCCCCACACAUAAGGAUUUUAGGAGCAUGAUUGUUUCGUGUCAGCUAUGGCGUCACGUUGUCGGGCGUUAGGCAUCGCUCGAAGUUGCUCACCUUGCUGACGAGUCCUUGGAUAUACGCUUAUAUAAAUAUCAAAUCCCCCAAUCAUUUAACUUGCUUUUAAUGGUAGAGAUUAAAAUCUUUUUCUUAAAAAAAUUAUUUGAACUUCAAAAAACCUCAAUUAUUACAUAAAGACGAGCUAAUUCUGUAUGUUAUUAUAAUUUGAUUUUUUUAACUUUCUAAUUAAUUAUUAUAAUUAUUAUAUCUUAUCUAAAACUUAUCUUGGUCAGUUUUUAUUAGUAGAUUAAUUUAAGUUAAUUAUUUUUAUUAAAAUAAUAAUAUUUUAUAUUUUAUUUAUCUCGACACAAUUUCAUUUGGAUAAAAUUUUACAAGAUCAACUAAAUUAUUAAAAAGUUAGCUAGUAGAACAGGUUUGACAGGUUUAAUAUUAUAUUUGAUUUAUCUAAAAACCUGGCUAGAUUUAACAACGCUGCCCGUCGGCCCUCGCUAUCUAGUUAACUAUCAAAAUUAUUUUAUCGAAAAGAUCAUAAUUACUUUAGAUUUUUUUUUUCAAUCGCGCGAACGCCGUAGAUUCUCUGCUUGGUCGUAGUGACGUAGGGACAGCCAUCGCUUUCAACGUCAGCACCUCUACCUAACGCCUAAAGUUGAAUAUUUUUGUUGGUAGUGUGCCUAAAAAAAGAUUAAAAAGAAAAUCGAAGCAUGUUAAGCUGCUGACAUGGUGAAAAGAAAGUGAAAGCAAUAGAAAAAAAGAAGGUCAAAUUUGGAGGGAUUAAAGCUUUAUUAUAUUAUAUUAUAAAAUAUCAUAUAAUAGUUAUUAUUUCGUUGAUAUGGAAUUAAGAUUUGAAGAACCUAAACAAAAUCAUCCAUAUUUUAUUUCCCAAGUUCCAUUCAGAAAAAUACUAAGAAAUAAGAUAAGUAUUGUUAAUAGUAUGUUGCAAAAAAAUAUUCAGACAAAUAAUAUUGUUUUAAAAAGAGUAAAUUUUUUUUAAAACUUCAGUUAUUUAGUUUGAAUAGAUUAAAUAAGCUUGAAUGAUUUAAUAAUAUAAUUAUAAAUUAAGAAAGUGAAUUCCAAUGAAACAUAAAUAAAAACUACAUAUUUAUAUUCAAUUUUUAGUUAAUUUUUUAUCUGAUUGCUUUUAAUAAUCUAUUUGUAUGUUCAAAUUUUAUUUUUUAAUUUUAUCUUUUUCUGUUAGUCAAUUUGACGGGCGCUGAAUUAUGGAAAAAAAAAGUGUAUUUUUUUAAAAAAUAAUUAAAAAUAAUAAAUUAUUUGGAAAGAGACACAUGCACGCCAAAUAUUAAUUUUGAGAGAUAAAUGGCGCACAUAAACUAGUUAUUUAAAGGGUGUUUGAAAGUGUGAUUGUUGUUGCUUUUCAAAAUACUUUUCACUUAGAAAAGCAUGCUAAUAAUAUUUUUUUUAUUUUUAAAAAAUUAUUUUUGAAAUCAGCAUAUCAAAAUAAUUUAAAAAAAUCAAAAAUAUUUUAAUUUAAAAUAAAAUAAAAAAUAAAAUAUUUUAAUUUUUUUAAAAAACAUUUCCAAACAUACCAUUAGUGCGGAAGAAUCUAAGCAAUUCACGUAACAAGUGGGGAGACAAAGCUAGCCUUUUUAUUGCUCCAUAUAAAUAAAUGUGGACGGCACGUGACAUGAGCUGAGCAUUAGCAUGCAAGUGGACCUUCGACAAGACAACAAGACAGUCCUCUCUCCCUUGCAUCGCGCGACACCGUUGGAUGUUUUUUUCAACCCUCUAGAAAGCUUGAUUUAUUUCUACAAUUCGAAAGCAAAGCGCACGAUUACUUGCGAGAGAGUUUCCUUAUCAGCUAAGUAUUUUUUUUAAAUAAAUUAAUUUUAAUAUUAAUUUAUUAAAAUAAUACAAAAGUAUAUAAAAAAAUUAUUUUUUAAAUUAUUUUCAUAAAAUACUGUUAGAAACGCAUUAACUAUUGUGCUUGCAUCAUCUUCUUUUCUUUCUAUAUUUUCUUUCUGUGUUGGUACCACUAGGUAAUAUAUGCAUCUUUAUAAAACUAGGUGAUAUAUAUAUAUAUAUAUAUAAUAUUAUAUAUUUUUUUUCUUUAUGUCUAAAAAAUUAAAUAAUAUAUAUUUAUAGAAAAAUAAAUAAAAUAUAUAUAUAUAUAUAUAUAUAUAUAUAUAUAUAUAUAUAUAUAUAUAUAUUUUAUAAAAAUCAUGCAUCAAAUUUUAUAUUUGUUUUAUGUGAUUUCUUUUUUAAUAAUCUUAACGUCUAUAUUUCAAAAUUAUCAAAGAAUAUAUGAAAACAAAAACAUAAAAAUCAUUUUCACACAGAAUCCAAAAAAGCAAAAUAAAUAUAUUGGAUUGCAACUAGUUGUAGUUUCUAACAUUGAACACGUAUACAUUAAACACGGAUGUAUAAAGUUAAAUUUCUGUUUGUUUUUCUAUUUUAAUAAUGUUUUUUUAAAAAAUUGAAUUUAUAUUUAUAUUUUAUUUUUUAUUUCAAAUUAAUAUUUUUUAAUGUUUUUAAAUUAUUUUAAAGCACUGAUUUUAAAAAAAAUAUUUUUUUUAAAAAAAUAUUUUUUAAUAUAUUUAUAAAUAAAAAAAAAUAUUUUAAAAAAUAACCAUAAUUAUACCUUUCAAAUAAACCCUUAAAGUCACUGUCAAAUCAUUGUUGUUACCAUCAAAUAUAUAAUUAUAAUUUAGCCUCUUGUUGUUUAUACACACUGAUGAUAAGAGUUUGUUUGAAGCGGGGCAAUGAUUUUUUUUUAAAUGUUUUUGAAAAAUAUAUUUUUUAUUUUUUAUUUUUUUUUCCUAUAUUAAAAUAUUAAAAUGAUUUGAAAAUAUUAAAAAAUUAAUUUAAAAUACAAAAUAUAAAAAAUUCCUUUUUUAAAAAAAAAAAAACAUGCGAUCGCGCAUCAAUUAUAAACGCCACCAUUUGGACGUUUGACUGUGACAUAAAUAAAUAAACAAAUAUGUUGUCGUUUCAUUGAUUUUAAGAACAUACGCUAAGAUUCAUGGUAUAAUCUAGAAGCGUAAUGCGGUUCUUGCAAGAAUUUAUUAAUACAUUUUUUUUAAUAAUAAUAUGGAAGGACCCACGUGGUACAUGUUUCAACAUCUCACGAAUAAUUAAGAUGUUCCAUGCAAUGGCAUGCAUGAUAGAAAAUUUUGUUCAUUUGUUUGGAAAUAGAUGGAGAUUGGACCGUUUGUUUAAUCCAUGAUGGUGACCAUUUUAUAUAUUUUAAACUAGCUAUUAUAAUAUUAACAUUGAUUAUUAUAUUGUGAUUUCUAGCCCAAACCCGGCUUAACAAAUUAAUAUAAAAACUUGUGACUUGAAAGUCUAAGGCGAAUUGUGUCUAAUUUAAAUUAGAAAAUACAUUGAUAAAACAAACCCAAUUAAUUUAGUAGAUUAACAUGUAAUUUAGUUGAUUUGAUGAAAUUCGACUACAUCAAUAUUUAUAAUUUUUUUAAUAAAAUAAUAUUAUUUUAAUGAAAAAUAAUUAUUAAUCUAUUUUUUUUAGCUAGAGAUUAGGUUGAGUAUAUCAACUAUAUAUAAUUACUAGUAGUGAUAGUUUGUGGUUCGAUUUACUAUAUAUAUAUAUAUAGUAAACAGCCGGUUAGAAAAUUAACACCAAGGCAUUAUUAAUGUUAUAAACAACAUUAUCAGAUAAGAAUGAUCUCAUCAGGCAGAAUUCUUAUCUGAUAAGGCAAUUUUCUUUGCCGCUAAAUAAACAGUGCGGGUUUUUUUCCCCUCAUAAUUACUGAAAACAUCACAUAGUCUGGAUUAAAGAAGAAAAGAAAUCUAAUUAAACCCAGUUUUUCUAACAGAAUUACCUGUCAUCCCAUAGCUAGAAGAAUUUAGAACAGAACAGCCUUGUGAAAAGGAUUGCAUGUAGCGAGUGACAGGACCAACCAAUGCAGCAAGAACCAACAAAAGAGAAACGAGAUAUCUCUGGGAAAAUCUAAACCAUUUCUCUUAUAGGUACCUAGCUAGCCCUGUGUGAUUUUCAGGAAUCUAAUGCAAUGAGACUUCAAGAAGUAGACUAAAUCUUUGGAUGAUCGGUGUAGGAUAGUACUGGGAACGAUCUUUUGUGGAGCUCAGAAGGAACUCAAAAAUGGUUCAGAAAUGACUCGAGACUAGAUACAUGCAUAACAAAAGAAGACUUUCAAGCACACUUGCAGGAAAUUAAAACCUGAACAACAACUGAUUCUAGAAGUAAACUAAAGGUAGUAUAGGAAUAGAGGACGUUUCGAAGCUGACGAUUUCAUUUGUGCCUGGACUAGAUUCUUCUUCUUCUUCUUCUUCUUCAAACAGCAGUCCAGCAAUCUUUACCCAAUAACCUCAGUUUUUUCUGUGCUUGAACUCCGAGUCGCAGACCCUCCUCUCCGUCUUUCUGCACCAAAAAAAAGCUGACUUUAUCGCCUUUUCCGAGACCCUUUUCUCUGACGUAAUCAAUCCAGCCUGAUGAGAGGACUGGUUUGAGGUAGACACCUUUCUUCCUUGUGGAACAUCGGAACCUCCAGGAGCGACCAGUUUUGAUGUCAAUAACAUCAAAUUGCUCGGAGUGUCUUCCCUCAGGGAUUUGGAGAACUUUGAACCUCGCCAUUGGAAUGGUCAUCCUGUGUUUAACAUCUGUUGGUGAGAGUUUCUUUGUGAACAUCGGCCUUGGAUACAUUUCGAAGAUUCUAAAUAUUCUACCAAUAACCGAGAAAUUGGAAACAAACUAGAACUGUGGAGACUGGAGACUAGUGGAUCGGGCCCCUUAAUUUAUACUAGCUUGGACUGGUGGGCCCCUUAAGUUAGUGGUCUCCUGAUCAUUAAUGUAUUGCUUAUUUAUUUUCUUGUUAAUUCCACUACAUCAUUUAUUAUAAAUUAUCAAGACAAAAUUAAGUGUUUCUUGUUUUUAAUUAAAAUCUUCUAUUUCAUGAUAUAUUUAUUUAUAAAUAUUUCCAGGAUUAAUAAUCAAGCACAUAUUCAAACCUACAAUCACAAUACGUGAAAAGCUUCUUCUUUUUUUCUCUCACGAACUCAUCAAUAAAUAAAUAAAUAAAAUUUGAUUGAAUAAUGAUGCGCCGCCCAUCUCACGUACGGUAUAUGACAUAAAAAUAAAGAAGAUUACGCAAUCUUGUAACUUGGAUUGUUGUUGGUUUUUUUCUCUUUCUUUUUGUGUUUUUUUUUUUUUGGGGGGGGCAUCCUUAAACUGUGGAAAUAUCUUAGUUAAUAACGUGGUAGGGCCAUCUCUUCUCGCAUUUUUCAACAUACCGCGAAUGAAAUUUUUUUCGAGGAUGAUUGUACCCUUUAAUAUUAGUUUAAUGACCAUACAUAUCCUUAAUUCCUUUGAAUUUGAACAUCGUUAUCAUAUGUUCAUUGAAAGCAAAAUAAUAAAAAUAAUAAUUAAUAUUCAUGAAUUUAUUUCCCAUACAAGUCAAAUAAAAUAAUUAUUUUUUCUUAAAAACUUAAAUUUGAGUUGGUGUGUGUAUAUAAAAACUAUUCAUCAAGAUCACAUUAAUUAUAAACACCACCGUCUUGAAAAGUUUGAUUGUGACAUAAAUAAAUAAACAAAUAAGUUGUGCGUUCAUUGAUAUUAAAAACAUAGUAUAACCUAGAAGCGUAAUGCAAUUUUUAUGUUAAACAAACAUUUAAUAUUUUAAACAACUAAAAUAUCUUGUUUUAAUAAUAUUUAUUUAACUUUGUUAAAGAAACAUUUCAAUUUAAAAGUUUAAGUUGUUAGGUGAGUUUAUAUAAUAUAAUUUAUAUUAUUAUCUAACGAUAUUCAAGACAAACUUAAUAAUUCUUCUAUUGUUAAAUGUUUUUGGUCUAUUUUUGUAGAAUUUAAAGGAAAUUUAUUUUUAAAGUUUUUUUUUUAUUUCUAAAUUAAUUAUUUUAAUAUCACUUUAAAUUAAAAUGAUAUUUUUUGCAUGAUCUUUUUUGUAGAUUUUGUUAAAUCAAUAUAGUGUUCAAAAUGAAAGAAGAAAAUUAAAAAAACUAGAAAGAUAAAAUAUUAGUUGGCCCAGCACAAGAAAAAAUGAAAAAGACAAACAAGAAGAUCGUUUUAAUGUAUAUUUUUAAUAAACCAGCUUUCCGACGGGGACCAACGGCCCCACAAGUGAGAAUUUUAAGAGCAUUAUUGUUCGUAUCAUCUUUGCCGACAUGUUGUCGGGAGCUGGGCAUCGCACGAUAUUGCCACGAGUCCUUAGAUACACGCUUAUAUAAAUAUUAAAUCCCAAUCAUUUAACUUGCUUUUAAAGGACUAAUGAUAAUGAUUUUUUUUAUAAAGGUACAGAUUAAAAUCUUUUUCUUAAAAAAAAAUAUUUGAACUUCAAAAAACCUCAAUUAUAGUUAAUUCAAUAUGUUAUUGUAAAUUUAUUUUUUAAACCUUUUAAUUAACUAUCAUAAUUGUUAUAUCUAAUUUAAAACUUACCUAUAUUAUUUGAUAUUUUUUAUUAGUAGAUUAAUUUAAAUUAUUUAUUUUUAUUAAAACAAUAAUAUAUAUUUUCUUUUAUGUUGACACAAUUUGAUUUUGAUCAAAAUUUAUAACAUUAAUUAAAUUAUAGAAAAACUCAGUUAAUAAAACAUAUUUGACUGAUUUAAUAUUAUAUUUGAUUUAUCUAAACACCUAGCUAGAUUUAAUAACGUUACACUUCAUUGUUUAAUCACAAAUUAUCAAUCAUAAGUUUUUUUAUGUUUUAAAAGUGUUUUUAAAAAUAUUUUAUUUUAUUUUAUUUUUUAAAAUUAAUAUUUAUAUUAUUUUGAUAUGUUAAUAUGAAAAAUAAAUUUUAAAAAAUUUUAAAAAAUUAUUUUAAUAUAUUUUCAGAUAAAAAUCAAUUUAAAAAUAAUUAUAACCACGUUACUAAAUUCAUUUAAAAGAGAUAAGGACAAAGUGGAGAAGAAAUAGACUGGAAUUUUUUUCGAUCGCGCGAAAACCAUGGAUUCCCUGCUUGGUCGUACUGACGUAGGGACAGCCCUCGCCUUCAACGUCAGCACCUCUGCCUAACGCCUAAAGUUGAAUACUUUUUUCGGAAGGGUGCCUAAAAAAAGAUUAAAAAAAAAAUCGAAGUAUGUAAAGCUGCUGACAUGGUGAAGAAAGAGAAAACAAUGAAUGAAAACAAGGUCAACUUUGGAGGGAUUAAAGCUUUAUUAUAUUAUAAAAUAAAAUAUCAGAUAAUAGUUGUUAUUUCUUGGAUAUGGAAUUAAGAUUUGAUGGUUCCAAACAAGAUCACUAUCUUUUAUUUUUCAAAUUCCAUUCAGAAAAAUACUAAGAGAUAAGAUAAGUGUAGUUAAUAAUAUAGUGGGUUCCUAGAUUGGUAGCCGGUACUAAAUCGUAAACCAGGUUAAUUUUUUUACUAUAAAAAAAUAUUAAGAUAAUAAUAUUGUUUUUAAAAAAGUAAAUUUAUUUUUAUAACUUCAGUUAUUUGAUUCGAAUAAAUUAAAUAAACUUGAAUAAUUUAAUAAUAUAAUUAUAAAAUAAAAAUAAUUACUCAUAAACAUGGUAAAUUAAGAAAGUAAAUUCCAUUGGAAAAGAAAUAAAAACUACAUAUUUAUAUUCAAUUUUGAGUUAAUUUUUUAGCUAAUUGCUUUCAAUAAUCUAUUUGUAUUAUUUAAUUUUAUUUUUCUAAUUUAAUAUUUUCUGGUUAGUCAGUUUGAUACGUGCUAACUUAUUUAAAAAAAAAAUUGAAAAUAAUAAAUUACUUGAAAGGAGACACAUGCACACCAAACAUUAAUUUUGAGAGAUAUAUACAAGUGGUGAGACAAAGCUAGCCCUUUUAUUUCUGUUUCCAAUAAAUGUGGACGGCACAUGACCUGAGAUAGCAUUAGAGCAUGCAAGUGGACCUUCGACAAGACCGUCCUCUCUCCCUUGCAUCGCGCGACAACGUUGAAUGGUUUUUUCAACCCAGCAGAAAGCUUGAUCUCUUUCUUCGGAUUCAUAGACCCACCACUGCAAUUAGAUAGCCAUGCGCAUGAUUACUUGCGAGAGGGGCUUUCUAGAACUUUUUGAUUUUGUGUUCCGAAUUUUAUUUGUUUUAAUUUGUUUUUUUAAUGUUUUUAAUCAUUUUGACAUAAAUAUUAAAAAUGUUUUUUUAAUAUAUUUCUGAAUAAAAAGUAUUUUAAAAAAUAACCACAAUCACACUUUCAAACACUAAUUUUACUAAGUUUAUUAUGUGAGAUUCUACUUAUUUUUUUAAACAAAUUUAUAUCAAAACAAUAUUAAAAAUAUAUUUUUUAAAAGAUAUAUUAUUUUAAUAUAUUUUUAAAUAAAAAAUAUUUUAAAAACAACCGCAAUUAUAUUCUCAAACAUCUCUUGCUCUCUAGAUUUAUUGGGUGAGAUUCUAAUUAUUUUUUUUAGAAAAAGUAUAUAAAAAUAAUUUAAAAUACAUCAAAAAUAUUAAAUUUAACAAAAUGAUGGUGCAUGCCUGCAUGGUACUAGAGCCAAACAUUCAUUUAAUCUUUUAAACCCCACUAAAACACCUUAUUUUAAUAAUAAUUAUUCAACUUUAGGCAAGACAUUUAAGACAAGCUCAACCAUUUUCCAAUUGUUAAAUUUCAUUAAUAUAUAUAUACCAUUUUUUAUUAUAAAACAAAUAAAACAUUAAUAUCAAUUAAACUAUAAUUUAAUAUCAAUUAUAUAUAUAUAUAUAUAUAUAUUUUAAAAAACCCAUCAAUUCAGUUAGUUAUAUCCAGCUAGCUGACAGAGGUGGGGUCACGUCCUGUGGGCCCAGCACAAGAAAACAAUAAAAAUAAAAAGACAGAACAAAAAGGUCGUUUCAAUGUAUAACUUUAAUAAAUCAGCUUUAGACGAUGUUGACUGCCGGCCCCACACAUAAGAAUUUUACGGCCGUGAUUGUUUCGUGUCAGCUAUGGCGUCACGUUGUCGGGCUUUAGGCAUCGCGCGAAGUUGCUCACCUCGCUGACGAGUCCUUGGACAUACGCUUAUAUAAAUAUCAAAUCCCCCAAUCAUUUAACUUGCAUUUAAUUGUAGAGAUUAAAAUCUUUUUCUUAAAAACAUUAUUUGAAGUUCAAAAAACCUCAAUUAUUACAUAAAGACGAGCUAAUUCUGUAUGUUAUUAUAAUUUGAUUUUUUAAAAUUUCUAAUUAAUUAUUAUAAUUAUUAUAUCUUAUCUAAAACUUAUCUUGGUCAGUUUUUAUUAGUAGAUUAAUUUAAGUUAAUUAUUUUUAUUAAAAUAAUAAUAUUUUAUAUUUUAUUUAUCUCGACACAAUUUCAUUUGGAUAAAAUUUUACAAUAUCAACUAAAUUAUUAAAAAAUUAGCUAAUAAAACAGGUUUGACAGGUUUAAUAUUAUAUUUGAUUUAUCUAAAAACCUGCCUAGAUUUAACAACGCUUCCCGUGGGCCCUCGCUAUCUAAUUAACUAUCAAAAUUAUUUUAUCGAAAAGAUCAUAAUUACUUUAGAAUUUUUUUUCAAUCGCGCGAACGCCGUAGAUUCUCUGCUUGGUCGUAGUGACGUAAGGACAGCCAUCGCCUCCAACGUCAGCAACUCUACCUAACGCCUAAAGUUGAAUAUUUUUGUUGGUAGUGUGCCUAAAAAAAGAUUAAAAAGAAAAUCGAAGCAUGUUAAGCUGCUGGCAUGGUGAAAAGAAAGUGAAAGCAAUUGAAAAAAACAAGGUCAAAUUUGGAGGGAUUAAAGCUUUAUUAUAUUAUAUUAUAAAAUAUCAUAUAAUAUAUUAGUUAUUAUUUCGUUGAUAUGAAAUUAAGAUUUGAAAAACCUAGACAAGAUCACCCAUCUUUUAUUUCUGAAGUUCCAUUCAGAAAAAUACUAAGAGAUAAGAUAGGUAUUCUUAAUGGGACAAUGGGUUACAAUAUUGGUGGCUGUAUUUAAUCAUAGACUGGGUUAAUUUUAAUUUUUUUAAUAAAAUUAUUCAAAAAAAUAAUAUUAUUUUUAAAACUUGAGUUAUUUGAUUCGAAUAGGUUAAUAAACUUGAAUGAUUUAAUAAUAUAACUAUAAAAUAAUAGUGGUUACCCAUUAACAUGUUAAAUUAAGAAAGUGAAUUCUAAUGAAAAAAAAUAAAAACUACAUGAUUAUAUUCAAUUUUUAGUUAAUUUUUUUAUCUGAUUGCUUUUAAUAAUCUAUUUGUGUGUUCAAAUUUUAUUUUUCUAAUUUAAUAUUUGUCGAUUAGUCAGUUUGACAGGUGCUGGCUUAUGAUAAAAAAGAAUUGAAAAUAAUAAAUUAUUUGAAAAGAGACACAUGCACACCAAACAUUAAUUUUGAGAGAUAUAUACAAGUGGCGAGACAAAGCUAGCCUUUUUAUUUCUGCACAAAAAUAAAUGUGGACGGCACAUGACCUGAGAUAGCAUUAAGAGCAUGCACGUGGACCUUCGACAAGACCCAGCAGAAAGCUUGAUUUCUUUCUUCGGAUUCAUGGACCCACCACUACAAUUAGAUAGCAAAGCGCAUGAUUACUCGAGAGAGAGGCUUUUUAAUCACUAGUUAUACGUAGAGUGAUAGAGAGUGUGAGAGUAUUUAUUUUAUAAAUUGUGUUUUUUUAUUUGAAAAUAUAUUAUAAUAAUUUAUUUAUUUUAAAAAAAUAAUUUUAAUAUCAAAACAUUAGAACAAUUUUAAAAUGUAAUAAAAUCAAUUGUAAAUAAUUUUUUUUUUAUGAAAUACUGUUUAAACACAAUUCCAGUUAACUCCUCAUGCUUGCAUCAGUGUCCUUUUGUUUUCUAUCUUUUUUUUUUUUAUGUGAUGGUACAACUACGUAAUACAUGCGUAGUUAGAAAAAUGCAUCUGUACUUGAAAAAUACAUAUCAUAUUUUUUAUUUAUUUUUUAUUUAUUUUUUAAUGAUUUAAAUAUUUAUAUAUCCAAAUUAUCCAAGAACAUAUGAAAACAAAAACAUACUUAAAAAUCAUCCAAAAAAGCAAAAUAAAUGUACUUAUUGGAUUGCAAUCGAUGAUAGUGUAUAACAAUUAACUUGGUCAAAUUAUUGGAAUAUAAUACUAGUUUUUUUUAAAAUAUUUUUUAUUUAAAAAUACAUUAAUAACCAACAGAAGAGAAGCAAAACAUCUCUCGAAAAUCUAAAACAUCUCUUAUAGUUACCUAGUCCUGUAUGAUUUUUAGGAAUCUGAUGUAAUGAGACUUCAAGAAGUAGACCACAAUAUUAUUCUCUUGCUAGCUAAUCAAGACUUCCAACAAGAAAGGGAAGCAAUAGAUGCAUAACAAGAGAGGAUAAACAGGUAGAAUGACGGUAUACCACUAGCACACUUGCAGGAAAUUCAAACUGAUUAAUUCUAGAAGUAAACUAAUAUAGGAAUACAGGACGUUUCGAAGCUGAUGCAUGAUUUCAUUUGUGCCUCGACCAGAUGCUUCUUCUUCUUCUUCUUCAAACGGUAUCCCAACAAUCAUUACCCCAUAACCUCAGUUUUCUCUGUGCUUGAACUCCGAGUCGCAGACCCUCCUCUCCAUCUUUCUGCACCAAAAAGAAGCUGACUUGAUCGCCUUCUCCGAGACCCUUUUCUCUGACGUAAUCAAUCCAGCUGAUGAGAAGACUGGCUUGGGGUAGACAUCUUUCUGCCUUGUGGAACAUCGGAACCUCCAGGAGUGACCAGUUUUGAUGUCAAUAACAUCAAAUUGCUCGGAGUGUUUUCCCUCAGGGAUUUGGAAAACUUUGAAGCUCUCCAUUGGAAUGGUCAUCCUGUGUUUAACAUCUGUUGGUGAGAGUGUCUUUGUGAAGAUCGGCCUUGGAUACAUUUCGAAGAUUCUAAAUAUUCUACCAAUAACCGAGAAAUUGGAAACGAACUAGAGCUGUGGAGAUUAGUGUAUCGGGCCCCUUAUUUAUACUAGCCGGGACUGGUGGGCCCCUUAAGUUAGUGGUCUCCUGAUCAUUAAUGAAUUGAUUAUUUAUUUUCUUGUUAAUUCCACUACAUUAUUUAUUAUAAAUUAUGAAGACAAAAUUAAGUGUUUCUUGUAUUUAAUUAAAAUCUUUUAUUUCAUGAUAUAUUUAUUUAUAAAUAUUUCCAGGAUUAAUAAGCAAGCCCAUAUUCAAACCUACAAUCACAAUACGUGAAAAGCUCCUUUUCUUUUUUCUUUUUUUCUCUCACGAACUCAUCAUAAAUAAAAUUGGAUUGAAUAGUGAUGCGCCGCCCAUCUCACGUACGGUAUAUAAUAUAAAAAUAAACAAGAGCACGCAAUCUUGUAACUUGGAUGGUUGUUGGUUUUUUUCUCUUUCUUUUUUGUGUUUUUUUUUUUUUGGGGGGUGGGGGGCACCAUCCUUAAACUUUGGAAGUAUCUUAAUUAAUAACGUGGUAGGGCCAUCUCUUUUCGCAUUUUUCAACAUCCCACGAAUGAAACUUUUUUCGAGGAUGAUUGUACCCUUUAAUAUUAGUUUAAUGACCAUACAUAUCCUUAAUUCCUUUGAAUUUGAACAUCGUUAUCAUAUGUUCAUUGAAAGCAAAAUAAUAAAAAUAAUAAUUAAUAUUCAUGAAUUUUUUCCCAUACAAGUCAAAUAAAAUAAUUAUUUUUUCUUAGAAACUUAAAUUUGAGUUGGUUGUGUAUAUAAACGCCAUUCAUCAAGAUCAUAUCAAUUAUAAACGCCACCAUCUCGAGAAGUUUGACUAUGACAUAAAUAAAUAAACAAAUAAGUUGUGCGUUCAUUGAUGUUAAAAACAUAGUAUAAUCUAGAAGCGUAAUGCAGUUCUUGCAAGAGUUUAUUUAUUUUUAAUAAUAAUAUGGAAGGGCCCAUGUGGUUCAUCUUUCAACAUCUCACGAAUAAGAUGAUCCAUGCAUGAUAGCAAAUUUUGUUGAUUAGCAAGUUCUCGUGAUGAUGACGAUGAUACGUGUGAUUCUUCUACAAAAACUGAAGAUUUCAUGGUGGUUAAACUUUAUUCCAAAUUUAAUUUGAUUACAAAUUCAAGCUUGAAAAAAAAAAGUUUUUAAAUAUCAGUUGACUCAACCAAACUCUAUUAAAACUUGAUGAUUAACUUCAAUAAUUAUUUAAAAAAAUUCAAAACAAUACUAAUUUAAUAAAUAAAAAAAACAAGUUAAUCUAGAAAUCUAUGAAUUGACUGAAUAACUUACUGGCUCAUGCUUGCUAUUAAGUAGUGGCUAGGGUGGUGAGCCACCAACACAUAACUUUCUUUAUUUUCAAGUUUGACAUUUGAUUAAAUAGAUCAAUUUUGAUAUUAAAUAAAUUAAAAUGAUUUAAAAAUAUAUAAAAAAUUAAAUUAUAGUUAUUUUUUUUUAACAAAACAAUGAUGGGUGGCACUAUUAUGUUAAACAAACACUUAAUUUUUUAAACAACUAAAACAUCUUGUUUUAAUAAUAGUUAUUUAACUUUAUCAAAAAAAUAUCUCAACUUAAAAGAUUAAGCUUUUAGACAAGUUCAUAAAAUAUAAUUUAUAUUAUUCUCUAACGACAUUCAAGACAAGUUUAAUUAUUUUUCUAUUGUUAAAUUUCUUCGGUCUAUUUUUGUAGAAUUUAAAGGAAAUUUAUUUUUGAAGUUUUUUUCUUGUUUCUAAAUUAAUUAUUUUAAUAUCACUUUAAAUAAAAAUGAUAUUUUCUGCAUGAUUUUCUUUAUAGAUUUUGUUAAAUUAAUAUAAAGUGUUCAAAAUGAAAGAAGAAAAAUAAAAAACAGAAAGAUAAAAUAUUAGUUGGCCCAGCAAGAGAAAAAAUGAAAAAGACAAAAACAAGAAGGUCGUUUUAAUGUAUAUUUUUAAUAAAUCAGCUUUAGACGACGGGGACCAACGGCCCCACAAGUGAGAAUUUUAAGAGCAUGAUUGUUCGUAUCAGCUUUGCUGUCAUGUUGUCGGGAGCUGGGCAUCGCGCGAUGUUGCCACGAGUCCUUAGAUAUACGCUUAUAUAAAUAUUAAAUCCCAAUCAUUUAACUUGCUUUUAUAGGUCUAAUGAUAAUGAUUUUUUUUAUUUUUUUUUAUAAAGGUAUAGAUUAAAAUCCUUUUCUAAAAAAAAACUAUUUGAACUUCAAAAACCUCAAUUAUUACAUAUUAACGAGCUAAUUCAAUAUGCUGUUGUAAUUUUAUUUUUUUAACCUUUUAAUUAACUAUCAUAAUUAUUAUAUCUAAUUUAAAACUUACCUGUAAUAUUUGAUAUUUUUUAUUAGUAGAUUAAUUUAAGUUAAUUAUUUAUAUUAAAGCAAUAAUAUUUUAUAUUUUAUUUAUCUUGAGACAAUUUGAUUUGGAUAAAAAAAAAUACAAGAUGAACUAAAUUAUUAAAAACUCAGCUAAAAGAACAGAUUUGACUGGUUUAAUAUUAUAUUUGAUUUAAUAACGCUACCCCUCACUAUCUAAUCACAAAUUGUAGACCACAAGCUUUUUUUAUCCUGAAGAUUUAAGAGAUAAGGACAACGUGAAGAAGAAAUAGAAAUAAACUUUGGCAUUUUUUUCGAUCGCGCGAAAGCCGUAAUUCUCUGCUUGGUCGUAGCGACGCAGGGACAGCCCGCGCCUUCAACGUCAGCACCUCUGCCUAAAUCCUAAAGUUGAUUUUUUUUUUUUUUUGUGAAUGUGCCUAAAAAAGAAAAAAAAAUCGAAGUCUGUUAAGCUGCUGAAGAAAGUGAAAGAAAUAGAAAAAGACAAGGUAAAAAUUGGAGGAUUAAAGCUUUAUUAUAUUAUAAAUAAAAUAUCAGAUAAUAGUUGUUAUUUCGUUGAUACGAAAUUAAGAUUUACAAGAUCACCCAUAUUUUAUUUUCUAAGUUUCAUUCAAAAAUAUACUAAGAAAUAAGAUAAGUGUUGUUAAUAAUAUAGCGGGUUACUAGAUUGGUGGCCUUUACUAAAUCAUAGAGACCAAGUUAAUUUUUUAAUAUAAAAAAAUAUUGUGACGAUAAUAUUAUUUUUAAAAGAGUAAAAAAUUUAAUAACUUUAACAUGAUAAAUUAAGAAAGUGAAUUCCAUUGGAAAAAAUAAAAACUACAUAUUUGUAUUUAAUUAUAAUUUAAUUUUUUAGCUAAUAGAUUUAAUUUAAUAAUAGGAAAAAAUAAAAAAGAUUACCCGUUAACAUGAUAAAUUAAGAAAGUGAAUUCCAUUGGAAAAAAUAAAAACUACAUAUUUGUAUUUAAUUUUGAGUUAAUUUUUUAGCUAAUUGCUUUCAAUAAUCUAUUUGUAUUAUUUAAUUUUAUUUUUCGAAUUUAAUAUUUGCUGGUUAGUCAGUUUGAUACGUGCUAACUUAUUUUUUUUUAAAAUGAAUUGAAAAUAAUAAAUUACUUGGAAAGAGACACAUGCACACCAAACAUUAAUUUUGAGAGAUAUAUACAAGUGGGGAGACAAAGCUAGCCUUUUUAUUUCUGCUCGUAAAUAAAUGUGUACGGCACAUGACCUGAGAUAGCACGAGAGCAUGCAAGUGGACCUUCGACAAGACCGUCCUCUCUCCCUUGCAUCGCGCGACAACGUUGAAUGGUUUUUUCAACCCAGCAGAAAGCUUGAUCUCUUUCUUCGGAUUCAUGGACCCACCACUACAAUUAGAUACCAAAGCGCAUGAUUGCUUGCAAGGAGGUUUUUUAGAACUUUUUGAUUUUGUGUGCCAAAUGUUUUUUUUUAAUUUAGAUUUUUUUAAUUUGUUUUAAAUUAAUAUUUUUUUAUUUUUUAAAUCAUUUUAAUAUGCAAAUAUUAAAAAUAUAUUUUUAAUGCAUUUUCAAAUAAAAAUUACUUUGAAAAAUAAUCGUAAUAACACUUUCAAACACUUCUUACUUGCUAAGUUUACUAUGUGAGAUUUUAAUAUUUUUUUAGAAAAAUAUAUCAAAAUAAUAUUAAAAAUAUAUUUUUUAAAAGAUAUAUUAUUUUAAUAUAUUUUUGAAUGAAAGCAAUUUAAAAAAUAAUCGCAAUUACAUUCUCAAACACCUCUUCCUCACUAAGUUUAUUGUGUGAGAUUCUAAUUAUCUUUUUAGAAAAAUAUAUAUAAAAAAUUAAAAUACAAAAAAAAAAAUCAAUUUUAAAUAAUUAUUUUAUAAAAUAUCCUUUGAAAUACAAUCCGAAGAACUCUUCUUUUUAUAUCUUCUUUUCUGUGUUGGUACAACCAUGCAAUAUAUACAUCUUUAGAAAAAUGUAUUUUGUUAAAAAAUCAUUUCAACUCAAUAACUUAAACUGUUAAAUGAGAUUUCAAGAUAUGAUUUAUAUUAUUCUCUAGCACACUCCCUGAAAGUUAUUUGGACUUGAAACUUGCACAUGCUUAUGUUAUCUUAUGCUUAAUUUUUAUCACAUAAAUAAGGAUUGUGAGAUUCGAACUCGUAACUGUUUAAUUAUCAAGGCUCUGAUACCAUGUCAAAAAAUAUCUCAAGCAUAAUAGUUUAAGUUAUUAAAUAAAAUCUUAAAAUAUGAUUUAUAUUAUUUUUUAACAUAUUUAUACUUGUUGCUACCCAAUUUUUGACCCAUGUUUUUGAUAUAUUUUCAAAAAAUCCAAAAAAUAUGUUUUUUUUUAUAAUUUCAUCCUUUUAGCAUUUUCAACGUCGUCUAAAAAAAGAAUUUAAAUUUUUUAAAAAAUUUCAAACGCGUUCGACUUUUCACACGUCAUUUUUAAAAAAACAUUGAUUUUCCUCGUUGAGUCGACGUUGAUAUUGCUCAUUUUCAAAAAAUACAAAAAAAUAAGAAAAAUCAAAAUUUACAAAAAGAAAGAAGUUGAGGGACCAAGUUGAAAAAACUUGGCAACAUUUUUGCCUAUAAAUACUGGUCUUUAACUCACACAAAGAGGUGGGGGGCAAUUUUAAAAUAUAAAAAAAAAUACAAAAAAAACAACCUAACCCUAAACCUAUCUCUACCAAGCCUACCGCCCCCUCCCUUUGAAAUUUUUUCCCGAGCAUUCUUCUCCUGAAGCCAAAACACAGCAGCCCCCACCUUUUUGCAUUUUUGAACACCGGCCAAACAGCCCCCCCCCCCCAAACCCCCCGGUUUGAUUUUUCUCUUCUCCCCUCAACCAGUGAGAGCCGGCCAUAGUCCAGCCCCAUCACAAACCCACGUCCCGAAGCCAUCAUUUUUUUCCCAUUUUCUGCUCAUUUUCAAAGCUGAAACCAGAUCAGAUUUCCUUCUUUUCCCCCUUAGACCAACGCCGCCCCUUUCUUCAUCUCAGAACCACAAAACCCUCCACUUUCUCCCGCAGACCAGCAGCCGCCAGCUCCACCGUAGCCUCAAUAGCCCGAGCUCAACCUCACGCCGGACCGAGACCAGCGUUGCCCCCCUUCACUCUUCCCUCUCGCCGGCCGCCUGCUUCUCCUCCUGCGAUCUCUUCAUCUCCGUCAACAGCGAAGCCGCCAGACAGACGACAACCCCGAACACAGUGGCGCUGACAGACCCAAAUCGAGCCGUCUUCUUCCUCCAGCAGUAGUCACUGCCGCAGCCAAGACAUCCUCACUCUCCUCUCCACACCGAAGCUCAGUUGCCGGCCGCCCCCUUGGACAUACUUGCCGCCACCGAAAGCAGAAGAGAAGAAGAAGAAACACCAUAAAAUGGGUUGCAGAUCCGAAACGAAGAAGAAGACUUGAAAACCGAUCUAAAAUUUUUUGACUAAAACAGACUGCUUUGUUGCGUUUUCUGUUGCUUUGCAGGUCGUCGCCGGCGUUGGGAGGCUGAGAAAAGAAGGCGUUCCCAGACACCCCGUUUUCCAGCCUUCCUCGUGGCGGCGCGUGAACCCACGCGCCGCCAGUGACAAUGGUGUGUGGGGAGACUCCCACCACUGUUCCCUACUGUUCCUGAAGGGUUUCCCAGCACUGUUAUGGAUUGUUUAGGGACUGUUUUGUAAUUUUAAUGUGUUUUAAUGUAAUUUGUUUAGUUUUGAUUUUUUAUAAUUGAUAUUUUGUAAAUAUGGAUGUAAAAGAAAAGAAAAGAAAAGAAAAGAAAAGAAAAGAAAAGAAAAAGAAAAGGAAAGAAACAAAAAAAAAAUACAGUGAAAGUGUAUGUGUGUUUGUAUUUAUUUUAUGAAUUUGUUAUUUUAUUUAUUUAUUUAUUUUUAGGAUAAAAUUGCAAAUAUAUUAAAGAAGAAUUUAAUAUUUUGAUCGGAUCAUGGUUAAGAAUUAUUAACUUAUACGUAAGUGAUAUUUCCAAUUUCCGAUGAAAAGACAAAAUUUUAAAACUUCUUUAACACGUCAAAAAUCACGAAGCAGCUUACCUCAGGUAGGGUGUGUUAGGGGUGCUAAUACCUUCCCUAACCACAACCAGUUCCUUACUCGCGAAUCUCUGACGAGACCAGUACAUCCGGUUUCCUAGUAGCCCUCAAUAAAUUACUAGGUGGCGACUCCAACGAACCAAAUUCAAUCAAAACACAUACGAGAAAAAUCGCCAACCGAUACCGUGCGCUUUGAUUUUUUAGGAUGCGACAAUACUAAAAAAAAAUAUACAUCAAAUGAAUAAGAAUCCGAAGUGUUGCUGUCGAAUCUGAGUUGUUACCAUGAAAUAAAUAAUUACAAUUUAGCAUCAAUUAUAAACGCCACCAACUGAUAAGUUUGACUGUGACACAAAUGAAUAAAGAAAUAAAUUGGAUGUUAAGAACAUACGCAAAGACUCAAGGUAUAAUUAAUCUAGAAGCGUGAUGCUUGCAAGAAUUUAUUUAUACAUGUUUCUUUUUAAUAAUAAUAUAGAAGGGCCCAUGUGGCACACAUCUUUCAACAUCUCACGAAUAAGGUGGUCCAUGCAUGAUAGCAAAUAUUUUGUUCAUUUGUUUAAUCCAGGAUGGUGAGUACUAUUUUGAGCCCGUUUGGCUUUGCGAUUGCGUUUUAUUGAAAACGCAGCGUAUAAAAAAAAAUCACUUUACUAUUUAUUGGACCCCACUUAAAUUUUGCGUUUCUAACGCAGAAAACGGAAAGCAGCCCUUUCAUGCUUUUGUGUGUUACUGUUCAUGCAAUUGCACUGUUCUACAUGAACAGUUCAGGUAAUUGCACUGUUCACUCACCUGCGUGCUUUUUUUUUUUAAUUUUAUUUUUAGUGUGUGUUAUUUUUUUUAGUGUGUUAUUUUUUUAACAUUUUAAAAAAAAUAAAUUAGUUUAGAGUAAAAUUUAUAUCUGAUAAUAUUUUAUCUAAUUUUAUUACAUGCUAAAAAUAUUACAAAAACUGUAGUUUUUGUUUGAUAUAUUUCGUACGUAAUGAAAUUAUAAAUGGUUUCAUAGAAUAAUAAAAAAUAUUUUAUAUAAAAUAUGAUUUAUUUCAUGAUAAAAUAGCAAUAAUUAAAUCUACAGUAUUUAAAUUAAAAAUCAUAAGUACUAAUAUAUAUUUUUAAAAUAAUUUUAUAACCUCAAUUUUAAAAGCAUUUUUAACCAAACACAUUAAACUAUUUUUUUUUCAACGUCAAUUUCAACCACAGUUUUAACCAAACACCUAUUUUUUCAAACCAAACUUAACUAAAAGUACUUUUUAUAAAACAACUUUUUUAAAAUCACAACCACAACACUACCGCAAUACCAAACACACUCUUUAUAUUCUUUAACCAAGUUAUUAUAUUAACAUUGAUUAUGAUAUUAUGAUUUUUAGCCCAUUGAUGAUAUUCUAUCUCAAGUUCAUUAUAAUUAUUAGACUUGGCUCGAAAAGUUAACAUGAAAAAUUUUAAAUCUAAAAAAUUAAGAUGGAUUGGGUAUAAUUUAAAUUAAAAGAAUAUUAAUAUGACAAACUCAAUCAACUAACUUAGUCAGUUGACAUAAAUUUUUUUUAAUAAAAUAAUUUUGAUGAGAAAUAAUUACUAACCUGACCUUUUCUGUUUUAGUUAGAAACUAGGCUGAGUAUGGCAAAUAUAAUUACUACUAGUGGUAGUAGUUUGUUAGCGUAAGGUUUUUCUCUCUCUCUUAUCAUUAUUGAAAACAUCAUGUAAACAGACUAACAAGAUUGUUUUUAUAUUUUAAAAUUAGUUUUUUUUUAAUUAUUGUUAUUAUUUUUUAUUUUAAAUUAAUAUUUUUUUAAUGUUUUUGAUACGCUGAUGUUAAAAAUAAUUUUUUAAUAUAUUUUAAAAUAAAAAAUAUUUUAAAAAAUAACCUCAAUCUUAAUUAUAAAUAAUUUUUUUUUAAAAAAAUCCAAAUCCAGUUUGUCUAACAGAUUUACCUGUCAGUCUUUUAUUUCCAGGAAUAUCGUGAAAAGCUUUUUUGUUCUCACGAACUCAUCAAUAAAUAAAUCAAUUUUGAACAAUGAUGCGCCGUCCAUUUCACGGUAUAUAAAAUAAAAAUAAAGAAGCAUCACGCAAUCUUGCAACUUGGAUUGCUGCUGGCUUUUUUCUUUUUGGGCACAAACCUAAAACCUUGGAAGUAUCUUGAUAAAAUGGUAGGGCCAUCUCUUCUCGCAUUUUUCAACAUCUCACGAAUGAGAUGGCCAUGGUUGAUUUCAUCAAUGGCCAUGAUCACAUGAACAUACAUAUAUUUAAUUCGUUUGAAUUUGAACAUCGUUAUCAUAUGUUCAUCGGAAGCAAAAUAAUAAAAUUAAUAAUUUAUUUUCCAUACAAGUCAAAUAAAAUAUUUUUUUCCUAGAAACUUAAAUUUGAGUUGGUUUGUGUCUAUAUAUAUAUAUAGUAAAUUUAAUGACUAAGUACUCAAUUAAUCAUAACCCAAUUUUUUUUUUUGAAUAUUAGAGUAUAAAUAACAAUUUCUAUUUUACAAUUUAGAUUAAUUAAAAAGUUUAAAUUAUUAAAUAAGAUUUUAAAAUAACUUUAUAUUGUUUUUUUAAUGUAUAUAAAUAAAAAUAGGCAUGUUUUUGUUUUAUUACCGCACCACUAUUUUUUUGUAUUGGCUAUUAUAACCUUAUUAAAUAUGAGUCUUAAUUACUAUAAUCUUCAAUUUUAAAAUAAUGUCUUUCAUUGUUCCAAUAUUAUGGUUUCAAAACAAAUUUCAUGAGAUACAAUAUAUAGAACUUGAUGGGUCAUGAUUUACUAAAACCUUCCCCGUUUAAAAGCCCACACAUGAAAAUCACAAUCCAAAAUAGGAUUAUGUUUUUCUUGAUGUCCAAUUCUAAGUUGGAUAGAGACAUGUUCACGUCUAGUUUUAAGCUGGAUUAGGACAUGUCUAUGCCCACUUUUAUAAUGGGUUAGAGACGUGUUUGUGCAAAAUCCCAUAUUAAAUCCGAGGACACAUCCGUAUUCGCGUCCAACUGUAUGUCGGGUCCGCAUACACCUCCAUGCCCAAAUUCAUGAAAUUGGAAGCUACAGCUGUGGAGACUAGUGUAUAUAUAGCCCCUUAUUUAUACUAGCUCGGACUGGCAUGGUGGGUCAUUUAGAGCAUCUCCAAUAAAAAAUGUCAUUUUAAAGAGUCAAAUGAAGAAAAUAGUUUUUUGAAUAGUAUAAAUAUAGCUUUUUGUAUUAUGUACAUUCCAAUGGUAAAAAGCUAUUUAGAAAAGCCAUUUAUAUUUUAAUAUAUUUCAUGUUAAAUUUAUUUUUAUAUAAUUAUGUAACUAAUUUAGAUAUUAUAUAUAUAAUAUAAUUAUGAUGUUAUUAAUUAUAUAAUUAAUAUUAGUAAUUUAUAAAAAUAAUAUAAAAUUUAAUGAAAUAAUAUGAAAGUUAAAAGAUAUAAUUUAAAAUUAAACUUAAAAUUUAUUUAUAUGAAUAUUUUUAAUUUUCAGUUUUAUAUGUUACUGUUAAAAAUUUAAUUUUUUAAAAGUAAAUUCAAAUUCAUGCUUUGAAAAAAUAAUCCUACUUAUUGUUGUUUUUCAUUAUGGUUGUUAUCUUUUAAGUUAAUUAAUCCUACUUAUUGUUGUUUUUCAUUAUGGUUGUUAUCUUUUAAGUUAAUUAAUCCUACUUAUUGUUGUUUUUCUAUUGUUAUUUUUCAUUAUGGUUGUUAUCUUUUAAGUUAAUUAAUCCUACUUAUUGUUAAUAAUUAACCGGAGAAUAAUCGAUUCUUGUUUUUUAAAAUUUGAGAGAAAGGUGAGGCACAAUAUAAAAAUUUAAAACUACAAGUUUUUUCUUCAUGUAUUUAUAGACAAAAUUUUUUAUGUAAAAAAAAAAAAAAAAGAAGCUGUUGGCCGUUGACCAUUUUUGCCAUUUCUACAUUUAAAUGUAAAAAUAGCUCUUCAAUUUGUAAAAAACCAUUUUGGUUGUCAUUUUAGCAUUCCCGUUGGAAUGCUAAAAGUAAGGAAAUAAGAGUCAUAAUACAUAUGACUCUUCGUUUGACAGCUCCGUUGGAGCUGCCCUUACAUGCCUAACUAGUUAGUGGUCUCCUGAUCAUUAAUGUAUUGCUUAUUUAUUUUCUUGUUAAUUUCGCUACAUUAUUUAUUAUAAAUUAUCAAGACAAAAUUAGCUUUAUUCAAUUAAAAUCUUUUAUUUCAUGAUAUAUUUAUUUAUAUUUCCAGAAAAGCUUAAUUUUUUUCUCUUUCUCACGUACUCAUCAACAAAUAAAAUUUGAUUGAAUAAUUAUAUAAGAUUCAAAUAAAGAAGCAUCACGCAAUCUUGCAACUUGGAUUAGUUGUCGGUUUUUUUCUCCUUGGUUUUGUCUCGUUUUCGGGCAGAGACCUUAAACUUCGGAAGUAUCAACUUGGAUCAUAUGGUAGGGCCAUCUCUGCUCGCAUUUUUCAACAUCUCACGAAUGAGAUGGCCAUGCUUGAUUUCUUCAAUGGCUAUGAUGACAUCAACAUACAUAUCCUUAAUUCGUUUGAAUUUGAACAUCUAUGUUCAUUGAAAGCAAAAUAAUACAAAUUUUAUAUUUAAUAUUCAUGAAUUUAUCCUCCAUACAAAUCAGAUAAAAUAUUUUUUUUAUCUUAGAAACUUAAAUUUGAGUUGGUAUAUAUAUGUAUGUAUGUAUGUAUAUGUAUGUAUGUAUAUAUUGUAAAUUUACCUCGGUCACCUGAUUGAUUUUUAUUACCAAUUAACUUAUGUUAAUUAUAUUUAUUAAAAUAAUAAUAUAUAUUUUUAAAAUUUUGACACAAUUUAUUAUAUUUGAUUUAAUUAAAAAAUAUAUAUUUAAUAACAUUACCUCCUCACUAUCUAAUCACAAAUUGUAGAUCAAAAGUUUUUCCCCAGAAAAUUAAGAGCUAAAUAGAAGGAGAAAGAGAUUUUCGGAAGUAUUGUAAAAUAUUUUUAAAGCGUAAAAAUUAAUCCCUGAUUAUUUAAUAAAUUCUUUCAAAUUGAAUUAUAAUCCUUGAUUAUUUAAUUUUCUGUUGAAGUUGUCCGUCCAAAAUUAAUUUAUCAUUAGAAGUCAUGAUAUACCUACAUGGUUUUAAGCCUGAAAAUUUCCCCAUGGAAAAACACAACUGCUGACUAUUGUACGUGGAAUUAUUAAUAUCCUUUCAUCCAAAACAAACACUACCAGAAAAUCAAUAAAUACAAACAGAAAUAUCGAGAGAAUAUUUCCAUCGGUAAAUUUUCAAGGAAUUUUACCGACGGAAAUAUUCCCUCGGUAUAUACCGAGGGAAUUACGGUGAGAAAAAAAAUAAAACAAAGCAAAAAAAAAUGAUGACGUGUCAUUUUUUACCCACGGAAUUUUUCGUCGGUAAUUCCCUUUGUAAUUGAUAUGAUGAUCAGUGUUCACAGUUUACCAACGGAUUCCGUUGGGAAAUCCGUUGGUAAACUGUGAACACUGAUCAUCAUAUCAAUUACAAAGGGAAUUACCGACGGAAUUUUCCGUCGGUAUUUUCCAAAGAGCUCCAGAACUGUUCAUCUUUCAAUUGCACUAUUAAUUGUUUUACUUUACGGACAAAAUCACCGAUGGAUUGAAAAUUCAUCGGCGUGUUUUGGCGGUUUUUUGAAAAAAUUCAAUUGAUUUAAAAUUUCAUUUAAAUAUUACAGAUGGAAUCACAGACGGAUUGAAAAAUCAUCGGUAAUUUUUUGCGGUUUCUGAAAACUUUUGACGAAAUUAAAAAUUUCAAUUAAAUAUUACCGACAAAAUUACAGACGAAAUAAUUAUCCGUUGGGAAAUUCGUCGAUAACGCGCCCCAAUAAAAAACCUGAAUCCGCUUAUUUCACAAGAAACAGACUCAUUAUUUUUUUUUCUUCUUCUACUACUUCUACUUCUUCUUCUUCUUCUUCUUCUACUUCUACUUCUUCUUCUUCUUCUUCACUAUAUGUAAAAAACAUCAAUAUCUAAUUCUUUCUUUUCUUUUCUCUCCUCAUCUCCUUCUCUUUUUCUCCAUGCUCGGGUAUGUCUUCUUCUUCUUUCUUCUUUUAUCCUCUUAGUUUUUUUUAAUUAAUAUGCUUCACGAAUUUUUUUUUCCUUAGCUUCACUUGCAAGUAUAUUAAGGUAAGAUUUUUCUUUUUUCUUAUUUUUUCAUGAUUUUUUCACUAUAUUUGUUUUUUAUUUAAUUUUAAUUGAUUUUGUUCUUAAUAAUUGUAUAAAUGUUGUUGUGAGAUUUUUUUUUUCAUAUGAGAUGGAUUUUUAAAUUUUUAGCAAUUGCAACUUCAUUUUUUUCAUAUGAAUUUUUUUAGUUGAAUUAAUUUUUUUGUUUUAUUUAUUGGUUGCAAAUUUGUUUGAGUUGAUUUUCUUAUUCUUUUUUCCAAGCAUUUUGAGUAUAUAUUAUACAAUGUUGAUUUCUGUUAAUUUAAUUAUUUUAUAAAAUGAAUUUUUUUAAAAUGUUUUUAAAUAAUUACCGACGGAUUUGGAAAUUUCUGUCAGUAAAUCCAUCGGUAAUAAAAAAAUAUUUUUAUCGACGCGCCUGUUCCACCAGUAAAUCCGUCGGUAAUAUUAUUACCGACGGAAUUACCGAUGGACAAAAAAUUCACCGACGGAAAUUCUCCGUCGGUGAUUUCGUCAGUAAAUUAAUUACCGAUGGAAUAUGUGUUUUACGCCGACGGUAAAAUUCUGUCGGUAAAACUGUUAAAUCUUGUAGUGAGUGUGUGAGCUUAAAGAGUCAAACUAAUUUUAAUUAAACAGUGUGCUUAAUCUAAUAAUUAAGUGAGUGUGUGAGCUUAAAGAGUCACACUAAUUUUAAUUAAACAGUGUGCUUAAUCUAAUAAUUAACUUGAAAGAAAGAAACUAACAGAAAAAUAUCCAGUCAUAUUGAAGAACAAAUGCACAGAAGAGUUCACUCGAAGCAGAUAUAAGAACAUUUCAACAGUACCUGCUCUUUAAUCAAAUCCCUAUAGUAGCUAAAUAACCAGAAGAACUUAUUCUUUAAGGAUAUUCCAAAGAGCAGAAGAGUUCCUCAGUAUUACUCUGCUGUCUUCAAGCUCCGAGAGCUGUAUGCAUGCGUGAGACUAACCUGAAAGGAUCAUCGAACAGGCUAGAGGGCUCGACUAGUUUCGAGUUUUCUUAACCUUAAUUUCGAAACGAUCUCCGCUAGUAUCAGCGGCAGCUCGUGCCUUCUGCUUGUAGAAGACGAUCACUAUGAUGUCGCCGACCUUGAGACCUUUUUGACGAACAAAUAAAAACCAAUCCCCAUAGAGGACUGGCCUUGAAUGGCCUCCCGGAGGGAUUGUACAGCGAAACGUCCACACAAUCCCAUCCUCGUCUUUAAUCUUCAAGAACGUUUCUUGGCCUCUCGGGAGGUUUUUUAGACUGUUUUCUGGGAGCAGUAGUUUUCUAUCGACAUCCGAGGUGUUUAGUUUUUUUGUGACUUCUUCCAUCACUAGGUUGCUUAUUAUAAUUUUAUUGUUUGAGAACUUGAUGAGCAAUGGAUGAGAAGUCUCUCUUCAUAUAUAUAUAUAGAAGGACUCUAAGAAGUUUGCCAAUAAAGAAAUAGCAGAAAUUUCUUUUCCAUGAGUGUGUUUUCAGUGAUUGGUCCAUCCAUGUAUAUAUAAAGAAUAUCAUCCUUUUAAUUAUUGAUUUUGAUUGCAAUACUUUAAUCAACAUUUUUAGAUUAUUUUUGUAUCAAAAAAGUUCAAAUAAAAUAUCUAUUGUUUAAAACUUUUAUAUAUUUUUAGAAAUCAACUUGGAACAAGAUUAAUUAAUUUCACGAAUUAGAAAAAUUAACCCAAAUAAAUUGAUUUUUAAAGAUUAAAACGAUAUUAUUAUGAUAAAAAAUAUUAAUGGAUUUUGACCAGAUUUUAGAUCAACUUAAUUUUGUUUAAAUUGAAUCGAGUAAAUUUUAUCAUAUUUAUUUUUCAUUUCAAAUUGAUUUAGAAACCGUUUGAGAAUGCGGACCAAAGCACUUUUUAAAAAAAAAUUAAGUGUUUUUGUUUAAUAUUAAUUUUUUUAAUUUUUUAAUAUACUAAUAUAAAAAUUAAUAAAAAUAUUAUUUUAAUAAAUUUUUAAAUAAAAAAUAUUUUAAAAAACAAUUUUAAUCAUAUUUUCUAGCAAACACUUCAACAAUCUUAGAUGUUGAGUUAACUUGCCAGGGGCAAUCGAUGUUUUAUAACUACAAACUUUUCAAAAAGAACACACAGCCAUUGGAUAUAUCCUGGGAUUUGCCAAAUUGUGAUGAUGACGGUUCAUAUGAAAUCACCAUAAAUGAAGUUUUGUGUCUAUAUCCAUUAUGUUAUAAAAAAUUUAGCAACUAAACAAUAUAUAUAAUUAAACAUCAUGUUAAUUGUUUGUAGUUGAAAUAGAAGAAGUUUUUUGUUUUUUUAAACUAAAGCAAUCGAAAAAGGUUGAAGGAUACGAUUUCUACCAAAAUCAAAUUAAUUUGUAUUAUUUCUUUUCUAUUCGAGAUAAGAAAAUAAAAAUAAUAGAUGGUGGGGUCCAUCCAUGUUAAAUGAAUGGCAGCUGGUUAUACAGCAGUUCAAGGAUAUGCGUGCGUUUCUCUUGCGAGUCGCAAGAUCUUCUUGCCAUGAAAGAAAAAAAGACACAUAUGACAACGACAAAGCUGUUGUUGACUUCUUGUUGUUAUUAUUAUUAUUCAAUUUUUAAAAGGUAUUUUUAAACCAUUUUAUCUAUUAAUUAAAACUAAACUUUCUUACUAAUUUAAUAUCUUGUAUGUUAGCAUGACGUAUUCAUAAUAAUUUUAUAAAUCUUUUAAUAAUAAUAAUCUUAAAAUUAAGAUUUAAAAAAUAAUUGUCAUAGAUCAAUGGACAAACUUCUUAAUAUUUCUUGAAUAUUAAUAAUCUUUGUCUUAAUAAUCUUUUCAUAAUAAAUACUUUUGCGUUGCUCUUGCGAGUCGCAAGAUCUUGCCAUGAAAAAAAAGAAAGAAAAAAAAAGACACAUAUGACAACGACAAAUAGAAAAUGAACACUAUAAAAAAUUAUGCUUAAUCUAAUAAUUAACUUGAAAGAAAGAUAUUAACCGAAAAAUAUCCAGGCAGUCAGAUUGAAGAACAAAUGUACAGAAGAGUUCACUCCAAGCAUAAGAACAUUUCAACAGCACCCUGUUAUUUUACCAUUUUGUCACUGUUAUUUUUUCUUUGCUGGGAAAGCACAGCUGGUUAAUCAAGGAUAUGCUUGUGUUUAAUUAUGAAACGUAUAACUCAAUUAGUCAGGUUUUAAACUUGUUUUUUUAUAGGUUAUCAAUUUAAAUUCAAGAAAUCUCAGGGUUAUUGAAAAUUUACAUGAUUGUUAAUUUUAAAAUUAGUGAAAUUAAUCAAGGUAUGUCUAAGCUGGUAUGUGCAUUUAUAUUAAUAAAAAAAGAAAAAAGAAAAAAUAUGUGUGCGUUUCUCUUGCAAGUCGAACGAUCUUGCCUGCCAUGGAAAGAAAGAAAGAAAGAAAAAGACACAUAUGACAACGACAAAUAGAAAAUUGAAAAAGCUGUCUGCACUUUUAUACCAAGACAAUGACUCCAAUCAAGUGCUGUAUAAAGAUUAUUUAAUGAUGAUGUGAUAGGGUUCUCCCACCAUUUAUGAGCUACCACUCCAUUUAUUUUUCAAUAAUUACACCCUUGUUAAAAUGGGUUUUAUAAUUUUAAUUCAUUCUACAAAAUGGUAACCUCUCCUAUCCCUUUUUUUUUUAAAAUCAUAUAUUUAAAACUCAAGGAGUCGCAUGAUGUUUUUAAAAAUUUGCUUCAUUUCUUGACUAUUUAGAUACAAAUAUUAUAAAUAAAAAAACCAUAUAAUUAUGGAGAUAUCAUAAUUUUUUUUAUAGAAAUGACCUAAAAAAAAGCUAGAGGAUUAUAUAUAUAUAUAUAUAUAUAUUACAUCAACGGAGAUUUAAGUUUUUAAGUAAAGUUUAAAAAAUGCUAACUUCAAAAUUUAAAUUGAAAGACUGAAAAAAAAACUCUUUAAUUAACAAAUAAACUCCUACAAAUCUACAAAUUUAAAGGACAUAAACUAAUUUGAUUCUAUGAUACAAAAUAUUUUAUAAAUUUAAAAUAUAUUAAAAUAUAUAUUUUUAUUUUUUUAUAUUAUAAAUUAAAGCAAUUAAAAAACACUUAAAAAUAACAAUUUAAUAUUUUUAUCAUAGUUUUGAAGCCUAGCCAAGUGGAUCGACCUGAGACCUGGCUAACCCGUGGUUGGAAUUAAUCGGGCAGGUUUAAGAAACAAUAAGGAAAGUCAUGACCUGUGAUGACCCGGUAAAAAAUUUGUGAUUAUUUGCUGAUUUUUUUAUAUUAAAAAUAUAUCAUUUUAAUUUAUAAAAAAAAUAGGGUUGACUCGAAUGACCUAGUGACCCGAGCAAAACCAGUGAUCUGGAUCUUGGACCGAAUCGGCUACUAGGAUCGGAUUUUAAAACUCUAAUUUUUAUAAACAAAAUAUAUUUUUAAAACUCGUCCAAAUAUAGUUACAAUCACAUUAUAAAACAACCACUAACCAAAAAAGCGAUAUCGUUAGUGAACCUGUUCGUAAGCUCCAAGAACCCUAGCUUUAAAAAUCCGAUUGGUCGGUAAGACGUCAAUUUUAAACAAAGUCCAGUGAAUAUGGUCACUCAUCGAAUACCUUGUCGGCUUCAACUUUCAAGUUUUCAAAGGGACAAUGCCAUCUCAAUCUGUUGGAUGAUACAUUUUUAUACAGAGAUAGAGAAACAAAUAUAUUAAAAUGUCUGAAAUAUCUAUGCACUAGUUGCCAAAAUUAAGCCAUUUAUUCAGUGAUCUUCCUUAUCUUUUGCUAUACAUUAUAAGAUCAUAUGAGAAUGUUAUAGUGAUUGUUUUUAAAAAUAUUUUUUGUUUGGAAAAACAUUAAAAUAAUAUAUAUAUAUAUAUAUUUUUAAUUUUAAGAAUUUAUUUUUGAUAUCAUGAAAAAAAAUACAAAAAUACUAAAAAAAUUAAUUUAAAAUAAAAACAUUUCUAAAUAUUGACAUAAAAUAUAUUGAAAUUUACUUCCAAACAUCCUUUUAGAAACUGUUAAAAUUAGAUGAUUUUUGGAGUGCCUAUUCUUAACAGGAAUAUCUAUAUCUAUCAUUGAAUUCGCACUCAACAUAAUAUGAUUGGGAUAUGAUAUCCAUUCACGGGAUAUCUAAUUUGAUGUAAUAUUAUAAAAUAAAUAUCAUGAUUUAUUAUGCAAUAAAUAAUACUGAUAAUAUUAAUAAAUAAAUGGAAAGCAUUCAUUAAUUCUCGCUUGGAAAAAGAGUCAAGGAGAACAUUUAUAGUAUUGAAUAUGACUAUCUAUUAUUACCAUCUAAGCAUCACACACACAUGAAUGAGGGUGUCAAAAUGAUUUUUUUUUUUCAGUUCUCAUCUUUUUUUUUCAAUGAAAACUUUUGAUGAAUUCUUCCCACUAAAAACAAAAAAAGAGGAAAUAAACAAGAUAUGUAAAAAAUAAAAAUCAUACUUUAUAAUAGUCAACUUAAUAUUUUGUAUUCGUGGUAAUUAUAACAUUAGUUUUAUAUCAUUCAAAUUAAAAAUUACGAUAGCUAAAAAAUCUUUAUGUUAAAUUCAUAAAAAUAAAUAAAUUUAUGACACUUUCUGAAUAUAAAAGUGUUAGAAAAUGAUUUAAUCUUUUAUAUUGUUAAAGACUAGUUAUAUAUGUAAAAAUGUUUUGUUCAUAUAUUGUUUUUCAUUUAAAGAAUAAUAAAAAAUCUAUGAAUUACCUAUAAAAUAUGUUUUUCAAACUAGUACAUAUCUAAAAACCUAAAAAGCUAAUAUUACAUUUUUUUGAAGUUUUAAUUAAUAUUAAUUGAGUUACUAAUCAAUUAAUCCGAACUUUGAAUAUUGCAAACAACAUAAAAAUCAUUAAAAUUGGAUUAAAUGCUUUACGUAUAUUGACCCAAAAUUCAACGAUGAAGCCCAUGUGCAGUCCCUUCGUUCAAGCAAACAUGGGCCCAAGCCUUCUCAAAAGGAUCCGCAUUAGGCACUAGAAAAAAUCUAUUCUAAAGGCCCGGUAUUACCCAUUAGAAUGUGUAUCAAUACUUGUCUUAAGAUUUUUAGCUUUCAAUAAAUAAAUGGAAAGCAUUCAUCAAUUCUCGCUAGGAAAAAGAGUCAAGGAGAACAUUUAUAGUAUUGAAUAUGACUGGUAAUUAUAACAUUAAUUUUAUAUCAUUCAAAUUAAAAAUUACCAUAACUAAAAAAAUCUUUAUGUUAAAUUCAUAAAAAUAAAUAAAUUUAUGACACUUAUUGAAUAUAAAAGUGUUAGAAAAUGAUUUAAUCUUUUAUAUUGUUAAAGACUAGUUAUAUAUGUAAAAAUGUUUUGUUCAUAUAUAUAUUUUUUCAUUUAAAGAAUAAUAAAAAAUCUAUGAAUUCCCUCUAAAAUAUGUUUUUAAACUAGUAUAUAUCUAAAAAACUAAAUCGCUAAUAUUACAAUUUUUUGAAGUUUUAAUUAAUAUUAAUUGAGCUACGAAUCAUCAUCAUCAUCCGAACUUUGAAUAUUGCAAACAACAUAAAAAUCAUUAAAAUUGGAUUAAAUGCUUUACGUAUAUUGACCCAAAAUUCAACGAUGAAGCCCAUGUGCAGUCCAUUCGUUCAAGCAAACAUGGACCCAAGCCUUCUCAAAAGGAUCCGCAUUAGGCACUAGCAACAAUCUAUUCUAAAGGCCCCGUAUUACCCAUUAGAAUGUGUGUCAAUACUAUCUUAAGAUUUUUAGCUUUCAACUUAUGAAUCCUACUCAUAAUAUAUAUUUUUUCUUCAAAAGAAUUAUUUUUAGUUAUUCUUAUAAAAUAAUAUUCUCAAUUCAAAGUUAUUUCAACUUAUUUUUGUCAUAAGUUAUCUAUAAGAAAAUAAUUUGAGAAACUUAAAAAAAAUUGAGAAAAAAAAAUUCUGAGUCCACCCAGGUUAACUUGACCAACUCUCCACUCGCGACAUGAGAAAUGAUAAAAAAAAUAGACUUUAAAAAAAAUAACCUAGUUAAAAAGACCAAAGUUAAAUAAAUAAAAUUGAGUAAGAAAAUGCAAACUUACUUUGGUUAACUUGACAAAUUCAUACUCGGUAUAACCCAACAAAAAGAAAAGUAAAAAAAUUACAUAGCUCAAGGGCUAAUAAAUGAACACCAAAUGAUGAAAUUGUAAAAAAAAAAAACAAAUCAAUUAGUUAAGAAAAAACUAAGGAAAAAAAAUCCGAGUCAAUUAUGGUUAACUUGACUAACUUAUUACUCGGGAUAUGAGAUCAAGAUAAUACAAUAAAAAAUAAAAUGAAACAAAUAAUGAAGAUAAAUGCUUAAUAAUCAAAUGCCAAAUUAUGAUUUUGAAAAAAAAAUAAUUUUCAAUAAAGGAUUGCCUCGUUGGAAGGCAACCAUGAAAAAAUAACAAAGUAAAAUAUCCAAUCAUAAAACAAUUUAAAACCCAAACAAUGCAAAUCAAAUAUGAUAUAAAAAAUGAAAGAAAAUAAUCAUAGGCUAAAUUGCAAAACAAAAAAAACUAAAAAGAUGACCAAAAUUGGAUAAAAAAAUGAAAUUAAAUUAAAUGUUGAGGAAUUUUUUUGAAAAAAAGAUAAAUAAAGAAGAGAAUAAAAUAUAAAAAUCAAAAGAAUUGGGAAAAAAUGGAUUAAUAAAACAAAUGCAAUACAAUUGGAAGAGACAAUAUUAAAAUAAUAAUAAUAAAGAAAAAUAUAAAACACAUAAAUAGAGCAAUCAAAAGUAGAGGGAUUAAAUUGAAUAAAUAAUAAAAUUGAAUAACAUGCUUAGUAAUGAAGUAAAUAAUAACCAAAAGAAAGAAGGUCAAAAUUGAUAAAAUCACAAACUAGAGGACACAAUUGUUUUUUUGGAAGGUCAAGCAUGGAUUUUCAGAAAAUGAGAGAGAAAAGAGAGGAGAAAGUAAAAACAACUCCACCAUAGCCCAACUGGAUCUCCUCUGUAAACAUGAGCCACAUUGUCGAAAAAAGAAUGACUUGCCACUGCCAAUGCCACCACAGAAGCAGGAUUUUGGUAGGCAGAAGGGAUCUCAUUCCACCUGAAUGACAUGCAGACCAUCAUGCGCUAGUGUGUGGAUUUUUUUUUUUAAUAAUAUUUAAUAACAAAUACAAUACAACCCCUAAUCAAAUUAAAAAAGAACAACAAAACCAGAAUAAAAACUAUUAAGAUGCUCUUGAAAUUAACCUUAGUUUGUUCAGAUAUCAAGGACAAUUUUGUAAUUUCACUAUUUUUUAAAAUGAAAAAGAUGGAGAAUCGCUUUGUGCAUGUUCAUUUUAUUUUUCUUCCAAGGGGUAUGGCUAUAACUUAACUGUGUAAAGUGUUUUCAAAAGAUUAAAAAACUCCUCCAUAAAAGCUUUAUGGUUUUUUGCAUUCAAAGGCAAAAUUGUCAUUUUAUUGUAAUAAAAGAAGGUAUUCAAACCAAUUUAUCUCCAACUAAUUUUGCAAUUACUAAUGUCUCCUUUAAAACAACAAUUGUGCCCCAAUUACAAGUAUAACCAUUUUUUUUCCCUAAAGAUAAAACCACAAUUAUACUAUUUCAAUCAACAAGAAAAUAUGUUUAGAGGCACAAUAAAUGACUGAUAUCUUUUAGUGUUUUUGUUUUUUUAUAAUAUUUUUUUAUAUGCAAUUAAUAUGUAGAUAUGUGUUUACUUUGUCCCACAUUGAUUAGAUAACUUUAUUAUAUCUCUCUUCUAAAUUUAUAUAAAUAAAGUUUCAUUGUAAGGAAUAAAAUCAAGUCACUUAAAUUGAGUUAUUAUUCAAUUUCAUUCAAUCUUGAGACCAAAGGAUGUGGCUAGCGAAUGAUUUGGAGGACGAACAGGUGUUACAUCUCCACGUAUAUACGUACUCAAAGAUGAGGGUGAAGAGAAUAAAACAGGGGUCCGCUGCAGUUUAUCCAUUGACCAAAUGUUUCAAACACUAAAAAAAAAAGACAAUCUCAAACAACUGAAUCAGUAAGACAAUUCAGAGAAGAAAAAAACACCAUUCAAUUUUUAAAGUUAAAAAGCAAUGGGGCUGCAUAAUCAUUGAUCCUGCCAGGAAGCCAUUUUGUUAGGACUUGUUUAGCAGGAGAAGAUGCAUCACCAUAAGCAAAGGAAAAAACCAUUAAAUUAAAUGAUAAAGUGAUACAGUCAAUGAUCAAAUGUAGAACUUGAAAACAAAGAAUAUAUAAUACUUUUAUUACAAGUAUUUAGAAAGAAUAUACAUUAAAUUAAUGAGAUUACUGAGUUUCACUUAAAAAUCACGAACUCAUGAUCUUUUUAAAUAUUUUGUCUAUUGUAAGUUGAUGAAAAAAAUAGAAAAAAAAAAUUAUAAAAAGGUUAGCUUGAGAUUGAUUAGCACAACUUUAUCAAAAGGUUGAGCUGAAAACCAAGAGCCUUGUCCAAAUAGGCACAAAUAGGUGUUUAUUUUGCACACAUGGAAAUGGAUUAUCAAAACUCGUUUUUCGAAACUAUAACAGAAGCAUGAGAAUGAAUUAGCACAACCUUUUCUUCUUCCAGGGAUUUCAUUAUACUGAUUUUAUGAUCAUGCCACAAGACAAGAGUAAAGUAAGUGUGACAGUAAACCAAAGGCUAUUUUGUAUUUAGUAGCUAGACUUCGUUGACGGAGACUUCAGGAUUGGAAGCUGCUACACGUUAUCCAACUGGCUCUAAUCUUAUCGUGUACCAGCUUCCAAUCCUCAAGUCUCCGUCAACGAAGUCUAGCUACUAAAUACAAAAUAGCCUUUGGUUUACUUUCACACUUACUUUAUAUAUAUAUAUAUAUAAAAGAGAAUUUUAUCUUUAAUUAAUUUGUUGUCAUCUCUCUUUCACCAGGACUUUCCUGGGUGAUACGAACCAAGAAGCUGCAAGUUCUGCGACACCGUUUGAAUGUAAAUCAUGUUUUUUAAAAAUUUAAUAUGAUUUAUUUUGAAUUGUUUUGAUAUACUAAUAUUAAAAAAUAAUUUUAAAAUAUUGUAUUUUUUUUUUUUGUAUUUAGUAGCUAGACUUCAUAGACGGAGAUUUCAGGAUUUGGAGCUACACGUUAUCCAAUGGAGACCUCUUUCACAUUACACAAUUUUUAAUAUUAUAGCGGAUUUGUUUUUUAUUUUAAAAUAUAUUUUGUAAAUAAUUAUUUUUAUUAUUUUUAUAUUGUUUGUUUACUAGGAAUUAUUAAUUAAUUAAUUGCAAGGGGGUUUGAAUUUUUGGCCAUAUGAUACGGCCACUGUUUUGGAAACAUCCACAAUUUCAGAACUUUUUAUUUGAUUAAAAAACAAUUUAUUUAAUUGACUUAAAUCCAUGUAUUUGAUAAUUUAUGAGGUGUUUUUCAUCAUUUGUUGAGAUAAUUAAUCUCAUGGAGCCCAUGGAAACAAACAACCGCUGGGGAGUGGUAAUUAAUUUAUGGAACUAAAGAAGAAAAAUAAGAUUAAUUUGCAAUCCAAGAAAAAGUCUGAAACGUUUCGCUUAAUUACAGGCCAAAACCAUGGGCAUGGUGAGCUUCCGAGCGUUCACUCUUUCACUCCCAUGAUUACAAGAUCUUGCCAAGACAUAUUCAGGAUCAUAGCUAGUGCCAUACAGAAGAGGAAAUAUGCAGAAACGACUUUAAGUACUUGUACAGCUAGGAUAUCAAACUCCUCUGAGAUCCCCGGCCGGCCAAAACCCUCCCCGCCGAGAGAAAAGAGAGAGCAGGAACAAGACUACAGCGUAAGAACACUACCCUCAGAAACACAAGCUGAUACUAGAAUCAAGAUGGAAGAUGCACCUAUUUUACAUGCCUGGAUCAGUACGUAGCUUCUUCUUCUUCUUCAAAGAGGAUUGCUCCAAAUAUCUUCACCGAGUACAUUCACUUUUUUCCGUGCUUCAAUUCCGAGUUGCAGACCCUCAGCUCCAUCAUUGUGAGCGACAGAAAAGAUGACUUCAUCGCCUUCCUUGAGACCCCUGGUUUUUACAAACUUAAUCCAGCCUGAAGAGAGGACUGGUUUGGGGUGGGGAUCUUUUUUUCUCGUGCAACACCGGAAACUCCAUCGAUGACCAGCGAUGUCGACGGCAACAACUUCUCUCGAGAAUGUUCCUUCUGGGAUUUGGAAAGCGGAGAGGCUAUCCAUUGGAAUUGUCAUUCUAUAAACAACGUCAGUCUUUGAUAGUGUCUUUUUGAAUAGCAUUUUUUGCAUUUUGAUAGGUAUGGGAGAUCCUAGCAAUUAUAGAUUCUCACAACUUGAG